UACGGAGGGUGCAAGCGUUGCUCGGAAUUACUGGGCGUAAAGCGCGUGUAGGCGGUUUCGCGUGUCUGAUGUGAAAUCCCCGGGCUCAACCCGGGAAGUGCAUUGGAAACUGCGAGACUAGAGUCCCGGAGAGGAAGGUGGAAUUCCAGGUGUAGCGGUGAAAUGCGUAGAUAUCUGGAAGAACACCGGUGGCGAAGGCGGCCUUCUGGACGGUGACUGACGCUGAGACGCGAAAGCGUGGGGAGCAAACAGG
rnacentral:rRNA from 1 species